GGCAGCAGUGGGGAAUAUUGCACAAUGGGCGAAAGCCUGAUGCAGCGACGCCGCGUGAGCGAAGAAGUAUUUCGGUAUGUAAAGCUCUAUCAGCAGGGAAGAUAAUGACGGUACCUACUAA
rnacentral:rRNA from 1 species